UCCAUUCAUCCCACGAAUAAUCAAACAUUACAUUCAAACUAUGCGGCAUUUCCCAUACCAAUCUAGUUAAAAUAUGUGUUUCUAAAAAACUAAAACCCCCCACAAAUCUUUUAUAUAUAGGGUUCACCCUACACCAUAUUUUGUUCAUCUUAGCAAAUAUAUCUUUCUUAUAAGCAAUGGCACCUAAGGCUUUGAGUUCUAGUUUGGUGACCCUUCUCAUAUUUGCCAUCAUCUUGUCCCCGAUAUCAACAUGUGAUGCAGUUAGGUUUACUCAACGAGCUUCGGGACCAAUAUGUCCUGCUUGUGUUUGUUGCACACCUGCACCACCUGGCUCUUGUUGUCAGUGUUGUGCAACUCCUGUUGAAACUCAGUCUGAGAAUAGCUCUCCAUGAUACUAUUUACAUAUUUCAGGACUCCUGAGAGCCAAAUUUCAAGAAAAAAAGUUGUUUGUACAAUGGUGACGUAGUUUCAAUGUUUUAUUAUGUUGUAAUAAUUUGCUACCAAAUAUAUCAACGUUUUAAUUAUGAAUUUCUGCAAUUGAAUAUUGUUCAUUUAUUUUGGCUUUAAGAGAUGGAAACUCUGUUGUCCAUGCUCAUGCAAAGUUUGCUACUGUGAUUAGGUCUAGUAUGUGUUGUAAUAAAUUCUCCCUCCUUCCUUUUUUGGAGGUGUAUGUGUGUGGUGGUUGAAUGUUUCCUGUGCUUCUGUAUAAUGAAGUUAUGACUUAUAUCCAAAAAAAAAGUGUCACUGUAUUGUAAUUUGCUGCCAAAUAUAUCAAUCUUUGUGUGAUAUUCUAAUUCUA